AGGGGCACUUCCUGGUCUCUAUGGUUACCAAGAGCAGCCUUGCCACGGAGAACCUGGAGUGUAAACAGCAGGAACCGGGUCUGCGGCUGCCAUGUCUGGAAGGAGGCCUCACACAAGGGCAAAGGAGGAAAGGGUGGGGCCCCUGCAGGCUCCCCAGGCCAGAAGGAGGAACUUCUGUACCUGAAAACAAAUUUCCCAGAGAAAGAGUCAACUAGAUGUGAAUGUGCCUUUCACAUGUGGUCGUUCCCCAUUUAAUAAGGAAGUUCUGUGAGAAGAAGCAGUUGCAGCCUCGAGAGGUGAAAUUCUGCCCUGGAAAAUAAGACGGAUGAACUGCUAAGUCCAGAAUGAAGACCAGACACCAGGAAGCCUGAAGCCAAAUGUCCUCAAGCCAAACCUUGGAGCAGCCAGAGGCAGGAGCGAUCAGGCAGGGGACAGCCAUCCAGAACAUUCUGGAAUCACCAUCUGAGGAGCAGAGGGGAUCUGUGUGUGCAGCCAGCCGUGGUCAGACAGAGGAAAUGCAGGGUCUGGCUGCUGGCCAUUCUUACCCUCGCUCCCACCAUCAGGAUCUCUGGCCCCAUCCUGACCCCUGGUGGCUGCCCAUGG